GGCGAAGGGACUCACACGAACUCGUGGUGGCAGCAUUGUGUGGCUGGGUAACGUGUUAUUCUCCCUUUGUUUUGUGUUUGUUCUGAGUUAAACGUGACCACAACGAACAAAAGAGAAGAAGCUCAAGCAAACACAAACAAAGGAGGAAUAAAAGAAGCAAGGGAGCCGUUUCAAAGGCAUAUCCCACCCACUACUACUACUACUACACAUGACGCAACCUGUUUGUCUUCAAAUUUCUGCAUGGACACAAGCGCCUGAGGACUCCUUUGGUAAAGUAUUUUGCCUUCAGAUUCGAGAGGUGACGUUUGAGUGACAAUGGAGUUUGCAAAAUCUAAAUGUGGUAUUAGGCAACUAGAGGUUUCUACUAGACUGAUCUAGUAUAGUAGACUACUUGAAAGGUUGAAAUAUCAGCCUAAGGAGCUUUCUGUUGUAUGCACGCGCCACCAAUAGCUUUGUGUGAGUGAUUGCGAGCCAUUGUUGCUUGUACCAAACUGCUUCUGGUGACAGAAGUCACAGAACCAGUUUUUUUUUAUCCUAACAGACCAGCAUAUGACAGGAGUAAGUUGUACUUGAGUAAUGAAUAAAAAUACUUUAAAAGUUCUGUAUUUUAACGAGAUAAAGCUGCUGUCAAUUUGGUUUCCUAACAACGAAGGAAAGUUGUAUGUGUAUGAAUCACAUACGUAAGUUUCUCAUACCAGAUUGGUUAUUUUUUUUCUUCAUUGGGUUUGUAUCGGAAAUCCUGUAAAUGUGAAUUGACAUUUAACUUAA